CUACGGGCGGCACCAGUGAGGAAUAUUGCACAAUGGGGGGAACCCUGAUGCAGCAACGCCGCGUGGAGGAUGACGCAUUUCGGUGUGUAAACUCCUUUUAUAUGUCAAGAAAAUGACGGUAGCAUAUGAAUAAGCACCGGCUAACUCCGUGCCAGCAGCCGCGGUAAUACGGAGGGUGCAAACGUUACUCGGAAUCACUGGGCGUAAAGGACGCGUAGGCGGGUUGGAAAGUCAGGUGUGAAAUCCUACAGCUUAACUGUAGAACUGCACUUGAAACUUCUAAUCUAGAGUAUGGGAGGGGGAGAUGGAAUUAGUGGUGUAGGGGUAAAAUCCGUAGAUAUCACUAGGAAUACCUAAAGCGAAGGCGAUCUCCUGGAACAUUACUGACGCUAAGGCGUGAAAGCGUGGGGAGCAAACAGGAUUAGAUACCCGGGUAGUC
rnacentral:rRNA from 1 species